AGUGAACGCUGGCGGUAGGCCUAACACAUGCAAGUCGAACGGCAGCACAGUAAGAGCUUGCUCUUACGGGUGGCGAGUGGCGGACGGGUGAGGAAUACAUCGGAAUCUACUUUUUCGUGGGGGAUAACGUAGGGAAACUUACGCUAAUACCGCAUACGACCUACGGGUGAAAGCAGGGGAUCUUCGGACCUUGCGCGAUUGAAUGAGCCGAUGUCGGAUUAGCUAGUUGGCGGGGUAAAGGCCCACCAAGGCGACGAUCCGUAGCUGGUCUGAGAGGAUGAUCAGCCACACUGGAACUGAGACACGGUCCAGACUCCUACGGGAGGCAGCAGUGGGGAAUAUUGGACAAUGGGCACAAGCCUGAUCCAGCCAUACCGCGUGGGUGAAGAAGGCCUUCGGGUUGUAAAGCCCUUUUGUUGGGAAAGAAAAGCAGCAGGUUAAUACCCCGCCGUUCUGACGGUACCCAAAGAAUAAGCACCGGCUAACUUCGUG
rnacentral:rRNA from 1 species